rnacentral:rRNA from 1 species
GACGAACGCUGGCGGCAGGCUUAACACAUGCAAGUCGAGCGCACCGCCAGGGGUGCGGCGGGCGGGUGAGUAACGCAUGGGAACGUAAACUUAUCUUUGGGAUAGCUCCGGGAAACGGGUAUUAAUACCGAAUGUGCCCUAUGAGGGGAAGAUUUCUCGGGUAAGGAUCGGGCCGCGUUGGAUUGGCUGGUUGGUGGGGUAAAGGCAUGCCAAGGCGACGAUCCAUAGCUGGGCUGAGAGGAGGAUCAGCCACAUUGGGACUGAGACACGGCCCAAUCUCGUACGCAAGGCAGCAGUGGGGAAUAUUAGACGAGGGGCGCAAGCCUGACCCAGCCGUGCCGGGUGUGUGAGGAAGGCCUUAGGGUUGUAAAGCUCUUUCACCGGAGAAGAUAAUGACGGUAACCGGUGAAGAAGCCCCGGCUAACUUCGUG